GAUAUGACAUCAUAAGGCUGUGCCUGGCUCUUGCUCUUUUGUGAUUUGGCUGAAGAAAGAAAAACAUCCACGUGACACACUAUUAUACAGAUGGCGUUUAUUAAAGAGGAGAGUGAAGACAUUAGGAUUGCAGAAGUAUUCAGCAUCAAACAUGAAGAUACUGAGGAACAAACAGACCUGAAGGUGCUGAUAGAGGAGAGUCAAGAACUGAAUGAAAAUGAAGACAAGUACCUGG